ACAGUAUCUUUUUUUCUUUUUUUUGAGCAGGAUCACUUAGAGGAUCCAACUCAACUUUUAAAUACUGUGUGUCAAAAAUACCAGGGGGAGGAGCCUGAAGCCUGCAAAAGGAAUACCUUUACCUUCACCAACUGAAUCUUCUUGCAGUGAACCUGCAGUGGCCUCAGGUGCAUUAAUGCAGGCCUGGUAUACUAACACUACCAGUCAUAUACAUCAGGAGGGAGCUGGUUGGGCUGGGAGGGACCAAGUGCCCAUGAGUAGUAGCCCAGAGUUUGACGCAUCUGAGUACCCUGAUCUUUUUGUAUCUUCCUGACAGGCUCAGGAAAUCUCACCCUCUCCAGGGUUUUGUUGAAAUAAAAACCUAUUUU